GUCCAGCUGCUCAUUCACCAGCACCACCAAGUCCUUCUUGGCAGGGCUAGUCUUGAUCCACUCUCUGCCCAGCCUGUAUUUGUACUAGGGAUUGCACUGGAUUGGAUUCCUCUUUGAUGUUUUUCUCUACCAGUACAAAGAUUUAUUUAUGACUUCUCUAGACCAAACUGAAACUGUGUGUUUAAGCUGAAAGCAGGGGGGAAAAGCCAUGAAAUGAUACUGAACAGAACAGUGGAAAAAUGAGUGAGAAAAGAAUAAUCUACUUCCAGAUUGUGACAUUAUUGCCAUUGAAAUACAGCAGAAAAAAAAUCCCUUACUUGUUGAUCAAAUAAUCUGUUUAUGCAAUUCUUAGGUACCAUCAAAUAAAAACCAGCUUAGAACAAGGACAGUUUAUUCUAUUUACUCUAACUCCUAUAUUUCUAUACUCCCAGUCUUCUAUUUCUAUACUCCCACUCCUUCAUUCCAUGUCCCCUCCUACCUCCACAUGCACUGAAUGUGAUGGCUGGAUUUUGUCAUUUAACAUUUUUCAAACAAUGAGCCUAAGAUUGGCUGGGUGUCAGAGUGCUUCUUUUUCUGAGCAUGUUUCAGUAAUUUAAUAUGUCACUGCUGUGAAAAUGGGUUUGUCCUUGCCUACAAUUCUGAAAAAUAAUACUUCUUGGGAAAAGUUGAAUGUUUUUCUUAGUGUUUUCUAAAUGCUAUCAACCAUACAUUGUGAGAAAUGGAACUGCAGAGGAUUGUCAAAGCAUGACUGAAAGCUUGAGUAGUCUUGUGUGUCUGUAUGCAAACUGUGAGAUAAGGUGUGCUGAUUUAGCUAGGCCAUGGAAUAGAGAAGAUGUUGUUGAGAAGGAGAUUGAACUGGAAACAAGUUUCAGACAAUGGCCUUGCAAACAAGACCCAGGUAUUUUGGAGAAUCAGAACUGUGAAAGAUGCGUUGUAGCUAGACCACUUGGGGUAAAAUAGUAGGUGAUUUGUGUUAGAAGUGUUUGCAGCAUUGUGUGGCAAAAGCUAACACAAACAUUUAUAAGCUGAAAAACAUUUAUAAGGUAUUGUAACCAGGAAAUAGGCUGGCUGCUGAUAGAAUGGCGUUGAGUUUUACAUCUCUUAUGUUUCACCCUUCUAUAAGACUGAUAAUGAAAUAAAAUCUUUUAAAGCACCUCUCAGUUGCCCCAUCUCUGUAGAGCUGCGAUCUUCCAACAAAUGGUGCUUCUGUUUUGAGGAACGCGAUUUCAGCUAAUUUGUCGAGCGGCUGGAACGGCCCAAAACUUUUUCUGGAGAGUGCUGCUGCAAGGAAGGGGGAAUUACCCUAGGGAUUUACAGUUCUCCUGUAAGGAAGGAGCAGUCGGGACACCUCUGUCUCCGCUGCGGGUUCGACCCGGACGGAGGCCGAUGCUAUCACCUGCUGCAUGACGACAGGAUUUUUAGCAGAAGGAAACACAAGAGCGGAUAAGCUGACAAUGGUUGUUUCUAAUACUUUGCCGAACAUUUUUGAACAAGCAAAAGUGCCAGACCUAAGUGAGUUCCAGCAAAGAACAUCAAACCAUAUUACACAUGAGAAUGCGCUGAUGAGUCCUGACGCUGCUCUUGGCCACACCAGAACUCCAGGGUAGCUCUACAGUGCCACUCCGGCACGGGAAGUCGCCAGGAGUGGGGAACUGCAGGGGAAAGGCGAUCCCACUGCAGAACCUUCAGAGCACUGAGUCCUGCCGGGCUCUGCCAGAUCAGGCAUUGUGGGUGGUGGCAAAAGGAUGGAGGAGAUUCACUCGGCUGUACUUCCCAGGAACAGGUUUAUUUGGGACAGGGAAUGAACACAAAGGUCUGGGCUGGGACAAAACAGCACCGAAGAGAGCCCAGAGCACCUCUGUGCACUGGGUUUUAUCUCCAGGGCAGGCACAGUCCAGGGUCCAAUGGGAGCUCACGAAGGGAGGGGUAAGGGGAGGAGGGUUACAAUAUCAGGGACCAAUGGGGAUACAAAGAAGGCGGGAACAUAGCGUAUCAUAUCAUAUCAUA